rnacentral:rRNA from 1 species
GACGAACGCUGGCGGCGUGCUUAACACAUGCAAGUCGAGCGGUAAGGCCCUUUCGGGGGUACACGAGCGGCGAACGGGUGAGCAACACGUGGGUGACCUGCCCUCAGCUCUGGGAUAAGCCUGGGAAACCGGGUCUAAUACUGGAUAUGACUCCAUGACGCAUGUUGUGGGGUGGAAAGCCUUGUGCGGCUGAGGAUGGGCCCGCGGCCUAUCAGCUUGUUGGUGGGGNGAUGGCCUACCAAGGCGACGACGGGUAGCCGGCCUGAGAGGGCGACCGGCCACACUGGGACUGAGACAC